UUGUGCUUAACCUGUUGUGUUGCUGCCCAGCACCCCACUGCUUUUAUGGCAAUAACAGCUGGGUGGAAAAAGAGAUAUGUGGCUGGUUAUGCAAAAAAAAAGUCUUGUGCCUGAGGAUCCAAAAUCCCAGGUUCAAUCUCCAGCACUACCAUAAACCGGAGCUGAGAAGUGCUCUAGUCUCUGUCUCUCUCAGUAGCUCUCUCUCUCUCUUGUUAGUGUAAAUUAAAAAAUUACCUAAAAAAGAUACUAUGAGACAAUGCAGGAAUUUUGCAUACCAGGCCUUCCUACAGGGUGAGGAAGUAGUUGCUAAAGUCCUUGCAGAGAGUUUUUCCCUAAACAACACCUUAAUACAGCCUCUUCUAUGUCAGUUUGCCAGUAAUUUGACAGUGUUUUGCAAAAUUGUAUUAUUUCAGGGCUACUCUCACCUUCACAGGGUUUCUAUGAAACAAAACACCCUCCACCAUUAUUCUUGCAACACACAAACACCAUUGUUCUAACAAACUUCAGGUGGCACCUUGGUUACAUUUUUUUUUGUUUUGUUUGUAAGUGUGUUUGGUUUAGUCACCUUUAUUCUAUAUCCAACAGGAACCAUCUGGUGCUGUCUUCACUGUACUUCACCUAGUGCUCCAGGUAGUACAGAUAAGUACAAAUUCUACAGAUGAGGAAGUAUAAGGAGACUUAGUAUUUAAGUGUAAGAAUAAUGAGUGCAGGCACUGUAAUUUUUUUUUUUUGAUAUUUUGAUUAAAUUGCAUUGGUUUAAAACAUAUCCCUGUUUAUUGUUCCAGAGAAGUGCUCAGCUUUGACUUGUGGUGUGAGAGACUCAAUCUGGAACUUUGAAGCCUCAGGUGCCAUACUGUCCAGUGGAGAGGCUGUGCUGCUAGAUUUAAAACAGAGUAUCAAGCUACUUCUGUAACUUAUCUUUAAUUUUCUGGCCUGAAAGACAUGUAGGGAAAGAGGAAGAGAUGGCAGUUUCUUGGGAAUACCAAAAGAGACCACCUGGGACCACAACAAGACAGGACUAGAACCACUUCAGGAACCCACCAAAUCACUGGUGAGUGCAAACACAGGUGGCUCAUGGACAGAGAGAAACCUAGGGAGAGAUUAAGUGGCUGGUAACAGUCCAGCAGUUUACCAGUUGAGACUCCAUCUCCAGUCUGUUUCACCAACAAAAAGACAGCUGAAGGGAGGAGAGGACUCCCCAGAGACUCACCAAAUGCAACUCUGGGUCUCCAUUGCU